GGGGGUGGUUGGGGGGGGGGGGGAGAAAGAAGCGAGUAUCUUGGGGGAAUGUUACCGUGAUCGUUUUUGAAAUGCAUUUUAUAACCAAAAAAAAGUUGCUUGACUUGAAUUCAAACUCCAGGGCUCAAGCCUCUUUAGGACAAUACUCUAACAAACAGUGAAGUGUUAAAUGGAAAUAAAUUGUAUAGUUAUUUCUUGUUAGUUUUAAACGACCUUAUUCUCUACACAAAGUAUUAAGGGAACUAAUUCAACUAAUACCCCGAGAAAUCAAUCAAGUACAAUUUCUUUCCCUCGUUCGAUACCAAGCAAAAUUAUUAAUUAUCAAUACGAUACUAUACUUAAUUAACUAAUAAGUAGUUAUUUGAUAGAUUCGAUAUUAAACACAAUAAUUAAUGAACAAUAAUUAAUUGAAUAUUUUUUUAAGCUGAUUAAUUUUUGAUUCAUAAUUGUUUAACGUUUCAACUUGAUCCGAGAAUGGGUGUAGAAAAAAUAUUGUGUUCAUAGACUUUUAUAGUAUACUAGACUGGAAACCGGAAAUAAAUUCUUAUCCGCGACUGAUCGAUUCACAGACCUAUAUAUAUAUAUAGAGAGAGAUUUUUGUGUACGUAAACUCUUUUUUAAGCGCUAUGGGGAGUCUUAGAAAAGUAAUGAUCUUUAGUUUUCAAAGUUUA